rnacentral:lncRNA from 1 species
AUUUUAUAAAUUAUAAUUUUUAUUCGUUAAUAAUAUUUUUCAAAGUUUGUAUAUGCUUCAAAAUAGUUGAAAUUUUUGAAUAACAUCGAGUUGUGGCAUAUUGAAGAAUACAUUUAUUGUCGUUUAAUCGAUUAACCGUAACAGAAUAAUAGGAUGUUUUGUAUUGGGCAAAACUGAGUUAUUUAAAGCAACUAUGAUUUUUGGUAUCAUCCGUCGCCACAGUUAUUAGAAAAUAUAUCAUCAUUGUUGAGUAAAUUGACAACCCAUAGGCUGGCUUAUUAUGAAGAAAAUAUUCGAAUAUAUUCUCUAUAAUUAAAAAACUAAUUAUUAAAUGCCAACGUAGAACAAAAAUUAUUUUAUAAAUAAAUCUUUUGAAACCUUAUGUCUUUUGUAGCAUGUCGUUUAUUAUGAUAAAAAAUUGUGACUGUUAACUGAUUGUAAUCGUGAGCCAUAAAUUUACCACUUGGUAAGAUUAAUUUAAUAUAUAUAUAUACUCAACAUAUGUAUAUAAACCUUA